rnacentral:rRNA from 1 species
UGAGUAACCUGCCCUUGACUCUGGGAUAAGCCUGGGAAACUGGGUCUAACACCGGAUAUGACUCCUCAUCGCAUGGUGGGGGGUGGAAAGCUUUUUGUGGUUUUGGAUGGACUCGCGGCCUAUCAGCUUGUUGGUGAGGUAAUGGCUCACCAAGGCGACGACGGGUAGCCGGCCUGAGAGGGUGACCGGCCACACUGGGACUGAGACACGGCCCAGACUCCUACGGGAGGCAG